AUUGAACGCUGGCGGCGGGCCUAACACAUGCAAGUCGAGCGAGCGGCGGACGGGUGAGUAAUGUAUGGGGACUGCCCGAUAGAGGGGGAUAACUACUGGAAACGGUUGCUAAUACCGCAUAUUGUUGGACAACCCAUAUGCGAUUAGCUAGUAGGUAAGGUAAUGGCUUACCUAGGCGACGAUCCCAAGCUGGUCUGAGAGGAUGAUCAGCAAAACUGGGACUGAGACACGGCCCAGACUCCUACGGAGGCAGCAGUGGGAAAUAUUGCACAAGGGGCGCAAGCCUGAUGCAGCCAGGCCGCGUGUAUGAAGAAGGCCCUAGGGUUGUAAAGUACUUUCAGUCGGGAGGCGUUACCGACAGAAGAAGCACCGGCUAACUCCGUGCCAGCAGCCGCGGUAAUAC
rnacentral:rRNA from 1 species